rnacentral:lncRNA from 1 species
CCACCCCCCGCAACCCUCUCUGCCUCUCGAUGGCCUGAUCAACCCAAAAAAAAAGUUGAAAGAACCCUUCCCUCUGACGGAUGGCGGAUGGCAACGAUGAUGCGAUAAUGGCGCGGACGGCAGAUGGCGGCGGCAUCGGUGGAGACGGGCUCGCCGAUGGCAAGAGGGGGGAGAGCUUGGAGAGGGAGAGGGAGAGAGGAGAGGGGAGAGGGGAGAGCUCUGGGAG